ensembl:snRNA U6 U6 spliceosomal RNA
GUGCUCGCUUUGGCAGCACAUAUACUAAAAUUGGAACGAUACAGAGAAGAUUAGCAUGGCCCCUGCACAAGGAUGACAGGCAAAUUUGUGAAGCGUUCCAUAUUUAA